UCCCUGGUGGCUCAGAGGUUAAAGCGUCUGCCUGCAAUGCAGGAGACCCGGGUUCGAUCCCUGGGUUGGGAC
rnacentral:tRNA from 1 species